CCAGAGAACUUAGCAGAGAUGCUUUGGUGCCUUCGGGAACUCUGAGACAGGUGCUGCAUGGCUGUCGUCAGCUCGUGUUGUGAAAUGUUGGGUUAAGUCCCGCAACGAGCGCAACCCUUAUCCUUUUGUUGCCAGCGGCUCGGCCGGGAACUCAAAGGAGACUGCCGGUGAUAAACCGGAGGAAGGUGGGGAUGACGUCAAGUCAUCAUGGCCCUUACGGCCAGGGCUACACACGUGCUACAAUGGCGCAUACAAAGAGAAGCGACCUCGCGAGAGCAAGCGGACCUCAUAAAGUGCGUCGUAGUCCGGAUUGGAGUCUGCAACUCGACUCCAUGAAGUCGGAAUCGCUAGUAAUCGUAGAUCAGAAUGCUACGGUGAAUACGUUCCCGGGCCUUGUACACACCGCCCGUCACACCAUGGGAGUGGGUUGCAAAAGAAGUAGGUAGCUUAACCUUCGGGAGGGCGCUUACCACUUUGUGAUUCAUGACUGGGGUGAAGUCGUAACAAGGUAAGCGUAGCGAG
rnacentral:rRNA from 1 species